CUCUCAAAUUCCCAAGAACCAAGAUCCAGGUUUUGUCUCUCUCUCUCUCUUUAUGUACUCACCGUUAAAUCGAUGAAGAACGUCGUUCCAUUUGUUGAUGUCAAUUGAAGCCUAAAUCACCACAAUUUCUGCUCUUCCAUCUUUCUCCUCGAUCUAGGGUUCAAACCAUAGACCAUUAAAGGAGGCCGACUAAACUAGGGUUUUGACUACUGAUCUAUUUCUGCACGUAUGUUCUUCAGACAAUCAAGGUUUUUUCACCACCGGACUACCGAGCAAUGUUGAUGUAGGCGACAUGACCUUUCAUCUCCACAAGAUAGAAACACAUAUUGGUACUUGAUACAACAGAUCCACUUGGUCAUUGGCACUGAUGCCAGCUCAGUUUCACAACAGAUUCAAGUGUAGUGAAGGUUGGUCUUGGAUUAAAUAAUACUCACCAAAUAUGGAGACUCCCAGG